CACCUACAGGCGCCUGCUGGAGGGCGAGGAGCAGAGGCUGUGUGAAGGUGUUGGAGCUGUGAAUGUCUGUGUCAGCAGCUCCCGGGGUGGCAUCGUGUGCGGGGACCUCUGUGUGUCAGGCUCCCGACCUGUGAUAGGCAGUGCCUGCAGUGCCCCCUGCAGUGGGAACCUGGCAGUGAACACAGGCAUGUGUGCACCCUGCGGCCAGGGGAGAUGUUAGGUUGCCCAGGAGAGAGCCAAGGAGGCCCCUUCUGCCACUGUCCCCACCCCCAGCUGAGAACAGUGGUGCAUCGGUGGCUUUUCCCCUUGUGUUCUGAGAAUACACCACCUGGCUCAUUCCCACCAGCCACUCCUCUGCUCAUCUUGUCCUGCUGGAAAGGGACCUGCUGCCCGGGAAUGGACCCAUCCCUUUCCCCAUCUUGGCCUCCAGCCCCUCCCAGGGAAAAGGGUUUCUUACCCUGGGAGGAGCAUGGUGGGACUGCUUCCCAUGCCUCUCUGGCCUCUCAUCUCCCAUUUCCAAUAAACUGGGUGACCCAC